CCUACGGGGGGCAGCAGUGAGGAAUAUUGGUCAAUGGACGAGAGUCUGAACCAGCCAAGUAGCGUGAAGGAUGACUGCCCUAUGGGUUGUAAAUUUCUUUUAUAUGGGAAUAAAAUGUUCCAUGUGUGGGAUUUUGUAUGUAGCAUAUGAAUAAGGAUCGGCUAACUCCGUGCCAGAAGCCGCGGUAAUACGGAGGAUCCUAGCGUUAUCCGGAUUUAUUGGGUUUAAAGGGAGCGUAGGUGGAUUGAUAAGUCAGUUGUGAAAGUUUGCGGCUCAACCGGAAAAUUGCAGUUGAAACUGGCAGUCGUGAGUACAGUAGAGGUGGGCGGAAUUCGUGGUGUAGCGGUGAAAUGCUUAGAUAUCACGAAGAACUCCGAUUGCGAAGGCAGUUCACUGGACUGCAACUGACACUGAGGCUCGAAAGUGUGGGGAUCAAACAGGAUUAGAUACCCGAGUAGUC
rnacentral:rRNA from 1 species